rnacentral:rRNA from 1 species
CCUACGGGUGGCAGCAGUAGGGAAUAUUGCGCAAUGGGGGAAACCCUGAAGCAGCAACGCCGCGUGGAGGAUGAAGGUUUUCGGAUUGUAAACUCCUUUUGUUAGAGAAGAUAAUGACGGUAACUAACGAAGAAGCACCUGCUAACUCCGUGCCAGCAGCCGCGGGAAUACGGAGGGUGCGAGCGUUACUCGGAAUCACUGGGCGUAAAGAGCGCGUAGGUGGGUUAGCAAGUCAGAUGUGAAAGCCUAGGGCUUAACCAUAGAACUGCAUUUGAAACUGUUAUUCUAGAGGAUGAGAGAGGUAGGUAGAAUUCUUGGUGUAGGGGUGAAAUCCGUAGAGUUCAAGAGGAAUACUGAUUGCGAAGGCGACAAGCUAGAACAUAACUGACGCUGAGGCGCGAAAGCGUGGGGAGCAAACAGGAUUAGAUACCCUUGUAGUC